GAUGAACGCUGGCGGCGUGCCUAAUACAUGCAAGUCGAGCGAACAGACGAGGAGCUUGCUCCUCUGACGUUAGCGGCGGACGGGUGAGUAACACGUGGAUAACCUACCUAUAAGACUGGGAUAACUUCGGGAAACCGGAGCUAAUACCGGAUAAUAUAUUGAACCGCAUGGUUCAAUAGUUAAAGACGGUUUUGCUGUCACUUAUAGAUGGAUCCGCGCCGCAUUAGCUAGUUGGUAAGGUAACGGCUUACCAAGGCAACGAUGCGUAGCCGACCUGAGGGGGACGACGGCCAGAUGGGAAGUGAGACACGGCCGAGACACCGAGGGGGGGCAGCAGUAGGGAAUCUUCCGCGAUGGGGGAAAGCCUGACAGAGCAACGCCGGGUGAGGGAUGAAGGUCUUCGGAUCGUAAAACGCUGUUAGUAGGGAAGAACAAAUGUGUAAGUACCUGUGCACGUCUUGACGGUACCUAAUCAGAAAGCCACGGCUAACUACGUG
rnacentral:rRNA from 1 species